rnacentral:lncRNA from 1 species
AUUUCAUCUCUUGAAAAUUGUAUCAUUCUUACAGAAUGAGUUUGAAGAUGUUUCCAAUUGCUGAAACAAGUAGGAAGAAAGAAUAUGACUGAGUUGGUCUUACAUGAAAGAAAGAAGAAUUUCUAAAGGUUUUUUUUGUUUUUUUAGGCCCUAUAGAAUUAAUCUGUUACAUUUACCAUCCUGGAACUUCCUCCCAGAGCCCCAGGGAAACUUUUGUCUGCACAUAAGUCUAGAUAUUAAAUAAAACAUGCGCCCAGGUAUUCUCUUAAUCCUUUUAGACCGAGAAUCUCAAUUUCUUCUAUAGCUUUCCAAGAAUCCAAGGUUUUUUGUUUUCUUUUCUAAACAUCCUACUUUUUAUUGUAUUUAAUAAUUCUUUGUCUUCUUCAAACAGAAUUUUCAAACAAACUUAAAAUGAAUCAGAGAAUCAGGGCUGGUUCUGGAGAAUUGUGGGGUUGAUAAAACUUGUCUUGGUCUUUCCUACCGCCUACUAAGUUACCUUCUGCUUCUGUUUGCAGAACAUUUGCUGUUGGUUACUGUAAACCUCUGAGUAUGGAAAUAAUGCAGUUCGUGCCAAAAAUGAAAGUGUCAAAGGAGCGACUUAUGGUCUGGAAGCCAUUCAAAAAUAUCGAAGAGAUAGAUUCUUCAAUGGUGUGAAAGAGGUAUAACCUCACAAGAUGUUUCUCAGGAUCUGGGGUCAGGCGAGGGAUUGAUGUGUCCCUAGAAAAAAAUGUCCAUACCAAGCAUGGCAGACCAAUGGCAAUGACCAGUCUCUCUGCCUGGCAGUUGCUUCAUUCAUGGCAGAUGGAAGGUGAGAGACUAGAAGGAGGUAAUUUCUCCUUGGUCAUUCUCACUUCUGGGAAGGGCUUCACAUCAAAACAUUCUCUCAGCAGGUUUCACGGUGGAUCACCCUGGUUUAUGUUCUUCUUCUUACUUUUGACUGUUGGGCAUAUGGAGGAGUACCUUAAAGACCUUCAGUACAGAACCCCACCUAGCCGACAAAACUCAUGGAAUAGAUGUACUCCUGAAACUGUUAUAGCAGUUUAAUAACUCAGUUGACAGAAAACCCACAGGACAGACAAAAGGAAGUUUUGCAACUGACCAGUUUAGUUGCCUUAUAUCAUGCUUACUCUUUGUAGCAUAGACUUAAAUUGUAUGGCAAGAAUGUAGUUGGAAUGAGUAGAAUUCGUGGAUUUUAGCAUUGCAGGAUUCUUUAUUUUUUUGUUUGUUUGUUUGUUUCUUUUGUUUUGUUUGUUUUUUGAGAUGGAAUCUCGCUCUGUCACCCAGGCUGGAGUGCAGUGGCACGAUCUUGGCUCACUGCAACCUCCACCUCCCAGGUUCAAGCAAUUCUCCUGCCUCAGCCUCCCGAAUAGCUGGGAUUACAGGUGUGCACCACCAUGCCCAGCUAAUUUUUGUAUUUUUAAUAGAUAUAGGGUUUCACCAUGCUGGCCAGGCUGGUCUUGAACUCCUGACCUCGUGAUCCACCCACCUUGGCCUCCCAAAGUGCUGGGAUUACAGGCAUGAGCCACCACACCCGGCCAGCAUUGCAUGAUUCUAUGGAGCUGGAAGGUUGAGGAAAUCCUACAGUGGAGGAUUCAUGGCUGCAUAAGUCAGAGGGAAUUCAACUGGCUAUACUUCCUUGUAAUAAACAUAUGAAAAUGCCUGCUUUUGGCUGCUGUAUACAUCAGCUGUGGGCAGUGAUUAACUCCUGGCCUCCUCUACUUCCACUCAUGCCGUAAGAGGAGGGGAGAAAGAAUCUUUACCAGCUAUAAAGUAAGACAUAUAAAACAAGGCUAACAAAGCACUGUGUGUCAAGUUGCAGCAGGAGUGAUGGCAAAUACAUGGGAAUGAGUCAAUGUCGGAUUAAAACAAAGAAUGUAAUUCAUGGAAACCUCUCCAAUGUGCAUGUUGGGAUGUGCUAAACCGUUGACUUGAGUGGAUUUGUAGCAGCAUGUGAAGGUGAUUUACAUAAAUGUGAGCUCAUGCCCAGAACACAGAUGUGACUUGCAAGUUUACAACCCUGGGAUCAUGGAAGCUGCACACAAAAGCAAACACAAUUGAUAGUAAACAAAACAUUACUCCUUUUGACUCUUGUUAAAUAUUUAGUGAACUCCAAUACUAUGCUGCUGGGAUGAGACUUGAAUUAGUUGGCCCCACUAGUUGAAUUUCUCUUAAGGGCAAAGCCUGUGCCCCCACCCUUACCUGAGAGUGAAAAGAUUAUGUUGUUGCAAAUGAGGCUUGUAACUUGGAUUCAACUCAAAUGGAAGAGUUCAGGAAUGUAGACAAAAAUAGCAAGUUGAAUCAAUCUGCCUUCUAGAAGCCUAUUUGGUGUGUCCACCUAUAAAUGACCUGCCCACACCUCAAAAAUCAAAGUAUAAUUGUUCCUCUUCAGUUCACUCUUCUCUCCUGACUCUGUUUCUUAAUUCAACCGUGCUGUGAUUUUUCCAGCCACCUUCUCUCUUCCCAUGAUUUAAACAGUUGCUGAGUCAUAAACAUUUCUCUUCUGCCAUGUCUCUGGAAUUGAUCAUUGCCUUUCCUUUCUAAAGUCUUUCUUACCCCUCAUCUGAAAUAUUGCCAUAGGCUCCUAAUUGAUCAUCCCAUUUCCUGGGAUUUUAUUCCUUUAAUCAGUUCUAUGUUUUGUGUGGGGGUUUUUUGUUGUUGUUGUUGUUUAUUUUAUUUUAUUUUAUUUUAUUUUAUUUAUUUUUUGAGAUAGGGUCUCCGUCUGUCGCUUAGGUUGGAGUCCAGUGGUGCAAUCCUAGCUCACUGCAGCCUUGACUCCUGGGCUCAGGUGAUCCCUUUGCUUCAAUCCCCUAAGUAGCUGGGACCACAGUUGUGCACCACUAUUCCUGGCUAAUUUUUGUAAUUUUUUGUAGAGAUGGAGUUUUCCUGUGUUGCCCACGCCAGUCUGAAACACCUGGGCUCAAGUGAUCCACCCACUUCAGCCUCCCAAAGUGCUAGAAUUACAGGUGUGAGCCACUGUGCCCAGCCAUCUCUAUGUAUUUGACACUUAAGUUUCCCACAAGGCACUAUGGUUAUUAGAAAAAAAAAAAAAAAAAAACUUCAGUCGUUGCUCAGAACCUUCUAUUUCUGGUAACUUUUCCUUGGCCUACCAUUUAAAAUCUGCAAGCUACUUUUCCAGUUGCAUUCCCCAUUAACGUCUAAAUUUAGCUUCCCUGGAACAGGGUUUCUCAAGGAGGCACUAUUUCCAUAUUGGACUAGACAAUUUUUUGUUGUUGGGGUCUGUUCUGUGCAUUGCAGAAAGUUUAGCAGUAUCUCUGGUCUCUAGCCACUAGAUGCCAAGAGCACCAACUGCCCAGUUGUGACAAACAAAAUUAUCUUCAAACAUUGUGAAAUGUUCCCAGGGGGCAAAAUUCCUGCCCUAGACAAAAUGGGUUUCUUGUGGUUAUCAAGAUAUGCUUUAGGUUUCUUAUGUCUACAUGUGUGUUUGUAGUGGGCCAUUUGCUUGGAAGGUCUUCCCUACCACAUCUACCUAUUAAAGUCAUAUCCAUCAUUUGUGGUUUAACACAAGGCUCCUUAUUACCAAAGUCCUCUCAUUGUUUUAACCACUGUCCCUUAAUACAAGUGGUUUCCUUUGGAAUGACAUAACAUUUUACAUAUUUCUUUUUAUUUAUUUACUUCUGUAUUUACUUUGGGGUUUUCUGGUUUUUUGUUUUUCAUCUUUUAUUUUAGAAUUGGGGUACAUGUGCAGGUUUGUUACAAAGGUAUAUUUCAUGAUGCUGGGGUUUGGUAUACGAAUGGAUCUGUCACUUAUGUAGUGAGCAUAAUACCCAAUAGGUAGUUUUUCAACCUUUGCCCUCCUCCCUUCCUCCCCUCUUGUAUUCCCCUGUGUCUGUUGUUCCCAUCUUUAUGCCCAACACUUUACAUGGUUCUUAAAACAUUUAUCUUAAUUUUUACAUUUUUCUUUUAAUUUGGCUGCUAAAAAAUUAAACACAGAAGCAAAGUUCUGGCCUUUAUUUAAAUGUAUAAAUAUUUAUAGCCUGACUUACGUAAGCUACUCUAUAUUUUGCUUGAACUUUACUUUCUCUCUUUUUUUUUUUUUUUUUUUUUGCCCCUAACAAGCCUAUUGGAUCUUCUUGUAUGAAAUUUUUAUGGGUAUAUAAGUACUAAAGUAAUAGUCCUUAUGUAAUUAGCUCAAAGUUAUCUCACUGAUAAAUGCAAUUAUAUGAUGCUCUCUUUUAUCAAAUGUGAUAGAAAAUAAACCACAGCCUCUUUAGAGAAAGAAAAGAACAUACACAAAAACUAGAGCUGGCUGGAUCUUAGGAGCCAUCUGGUCCUUCAUCGUCCCCUUUACUUGAGGUAACGGGAAUAGGAAUAUUGGAAGGACAAAUGGCUUUCCCCAGGUGGUAGAUCCAGUCUCUUACCCACGGGGCCUGCUCAGAAUUUGUUGCAUUAGACUAGUUGUUCCUCAUGUGGGGUCUUCAGACCAGCAUCAUAUGCACAGCUUAGAAACUUAUUCGAAAUACAAAUCCUCAGGCCCAUCCCCAAUGUACUGAGUAAUGCCAGCGCUUUGGGAGGCCGAGGCAGGUGGAUCACGAGGUCAGGAGAUCGAGACUACCCUGGCUAACACGGUGAAACCCCAUCUCUACUAAAAAUACAAAAAAUUAGCUGGGCGUGGUGGUGGGCACCUGUAGUCCCAGCUACUCAGGAGGCUGAGGCAGGAGAAUGGCGUGAACCCGGGAGGUAGAGCUUGCAGUGAGCCAACAUUGCGCCACUGCACUCCAGCCUGGGUGACAGAGCGAGACUCUGUCUCAAAAAACAAAACAAAACAAAAACAAAAAACAAAAAACCUCUGGGGAUAGGGCCCAUCUAUCUGGGUUUGGUAUAGUGUGGGGGUCCUCAAAUCUGAGCUUAUCAGGAAAAUUUGGAGGAUCUGUUCAUAUAGACUGGUUAUUUACCACGUGCCAUAUUUAGUGAAAGUUAAAUUGUUGUGGAUUCUCAAGACCAGAUUGUGAAAGGCAGCUGCACUCAAUAUCAAAUUAACAACCUGACCUAUUUCUUGAAAUGUAAAACUUAAUCCAGAGAUCCUCUGUUUAAACAAUAAAAAUGUUUACUCUAAUAUGGUAGUUUCUGUUCCAUCUUAAGAUAGCAUAAUAAGUUUGCAUCAAGUUUAAAAUAAAGAUCUAAAAUUUAUUUGAUGUUGAUUUUUCUCAUGUACUACAGGGAGCAGAAAUUCUAAGAUUAGGAAUGUGAAGUCAGGAGAGAGAGUUGAAAGCAUGUUAAGCUUUCGUCUUAGUGAAGAAAAUAGAUAUAAAUGCUAACAAGUCAUAGGCAUCUUCAGAAUGAUUUGUUUUAAUACAAUGUAAAUAUAAGACAGCCACUAAAAUAAAAAAAAGUGUAUUUAUAAGCCAGUAAAAGAAAAAAUAAAGGCAAAUAUGUCAAUACAGUAAUGACUAGGAAAGAAAGAAAGAAGAAAGGAAAAUACAAAACAUGUCAGUGUUUAUAAUAAUUAUAAAUGUUCUUCUCAAAUUUCAUGUUUCUCUUUGUAGAAAAUAUUAAAAUAUAAAAAUGGCAUAGAAACGUAGAAAAAUGAAGGAAGACAAAAAAAGUUAUACUGGACCAAUACCAAGAAAACUGAAAUAGCAUUACCAUAUUAACAUCUGACAAAAAAUAAUCUGAGAUAAAAAGUAAAAAGAGGGUUAUUUUAUUUGGUAAAGUUACAAUACUCUAAUAAGAUUUAACAAUCAUGAACAUGGAUGUACCUAAUAAAAUAUCAAUAAAAUAUACAGGAAGCAAGUGCCAUACAAGUAAAAAUAGAAUAUUAAACCAUCAUGGUAGAGACUUAAACAUACUUACCUCAAUACUCAAGAGAUUAAACAGAUAAAAAGUAUUUAAACUUUUGAAUAUUUGAAUUAUACAGUUAACAGCCAUAUAGAUAUUUAAAAUGUGUACCUAACAAAAGGAAAUGUACUUUAAUUUCAAAUAGCCAUGACAUAUUUAUUAAAGUUGGCCAUUAGAUUUUAAAUACAAUAAUAUAUUUCAUAUUUUCUGACACAGUUCAAUAAAACUAGAUAAUAAAAAUAAAAGGAAAGAGAUAGCCUCCUUUCACAAAAAUAAAACAAAACAAUAAAUAAAUAUCCAACUGGAUGUAUUAAAAUGUUCUUUAAAAUAAUCUUUGGGCUAUUAAACUACUUAGAAAUUUUUGAAAACCAUGAGAAUGCAACGUGCCAACACCUAUGAUUUUAGUUCAAAAUGGUACUCAGAUAAUAUUUUAGAGACUUUAGUGCAUUUAUUAUUGAACAAAAAAGAGUAUAGGAAAUAUCAACUAUGUGUUUAACUCAACAAUCAUGGAUAAGAAACAAAAAGUUAUAUAUUUUCAUUGUAGAAAAUAUUAAAAUUAUAAAUAAGUUAUUGGAGAAGAAAUAAGAAUCACCUACAAUUAUUUUUUUCUUCCCCUGUAAUUAUGACACAUAUAAUGGACAUUAUUUUUUUCCUCCCCAGUAAUUAUAACACAUAUAAUGGACAAUAAAUAAAUCAGGACAAAUGCCCCAAAUUGUGUGAUGUCUCUACAGUUUCAGGGCUGAAUUUCUCCUUUGAUCUUACCAAAGUCACAAGAGAGACUCAAGAAUGAGGACUGUGACAAUCGCUAUGGUGUGCCUUUAGUUUCAUGCAUGUACACAUAGAAGUUGUGUGUGUGUGUGUGUGUGUGUGUGUGUCUGUGUCUGCAUGUGUUAUGGUGAAGUGAUGGAAAAAUUGAACCUCCUCAAACCUCUUUUCAGGAAUACUGCUUUCUUUUUAACAGAUUUUUGCAAAGGAAAAUAAAUGAUUCAUUUUAGCAGAUUUGCCAGAAAGAUUUCAGUGACAUGAAUAUUUGGUAAAGAUUUGGCCUGCAGAAUGAAGUGAUGAAAACAGCAAGGGAAAAAAUAUACCUAAAGAAGUAGUAGGAAAAGAAUCCCCUGAAGUCCAUUGAGGAAAAAACCACCUUGGACACAAUGUAAGAAAAAAGGUUUUCUUAUAUAAGGAAUCCUGAUAGAAACACUACUAAACCUCUGUCAAACAGCAGGACACUCUGGUUUGGCUAGAAGUUCUGGGAAAGGCCACCUCCUUCCUAUUGGAAGGCAGUAGUUUUGUUUUUGGUAAAUAAAGUCAUUUGGUUCAGCAGAGAGCAUCUAAAACACUGAAGGCAUUUCUUGUCUGGACAUUGAUUCUACUAGGAUGUAGGCCAGAAGACUACACUCUUCAGAAGAAUGAGAAUAAGAAGUAACUAGCAUGUCCAAACAAGCUGUGAAAUCUUAUCCCUCCUGCUCCCUGAAUAGAGUCCAAUGCCCCAAGAUAAAGGAAAUCCACUCUGUAAUCCGAUAGGCUUGUUACUGAGCAUUUUGCCAAGAACAACACCUUCCCUUCACGUAGUGCCAGGGUCCAGGUGCAUAAACUCCAGCCUUAUAAACUCAAGUACCAAAAAAAAAAAAAAAAAAAAAAAAAAGAGUGAAACCUCUUGACAUUUGAUAAAAUGUGACUAUGGAUUUUCUCAGCAAGGAUGGAGAAGAGUGUGCUUACAUGUACUGCACAAACACUUUACUGGAGGUCUUUUGCCUUGAUUGCUAAGGUCAGAGGACAAACAUAGAAACUCAAAAUUAGGUUACUGUAAUUGUUCUCAUUCUCUCUCAUGCCUCUGAGAGCUCCUUGACAAGCCUACCUUUGAAUCUCCAACACCUCUCAUAGUUCUAGGCAUUGGAUGCUUGGUAAGCAUUUUUCAAAAUGAGAAAAGCCCUUUGUUGUUGUUGCUGCUGUUUGAUGGACUUAAGUAUUUGGAAUUUAGGGUAAAAACUGUCUAUAUCAGAAAAUAAAAAAUUGCUACUACAAGUAUAAAAUAAUAUAUAUAGUGCUAUAUCAUUUGUAAAGCACUUUUACAUAAACUAUUUUCUUUUAAAUCUCACAAAUUCCGUUUUUAUUUUUAUUUUCUAGUUUGAGCCAAACAAGGCUCAAAAUUUUUAAGGAACUUGGGGAAGGCCGCUUUUUUUCACAGCCAUUUCUCUGUAGAAAAUGAAUGAGCUUGCAUAUAACAUUUUACUAAGUGGAACUAAAUAUAUUUACUACAAAAUAAAAAGGGGAGACAUCAAACCUGUUGCACAAAACCUGUAGAAGUUCAUCUGAGAAUUUCUUAGAAUUGUAGAUUUCCUUAGGAAGAAUAUAUGUUAAAUCAUAUACACACACGUGUGUGUGCACAUGUAUAUAGACAUACAUAUGUACAUAUAUAUGUAUAUAUAUGAUUAUAUUUAACGUGUAUAAUCAAAAUUAUAUUUUUUCAAAAGUUGUGCUACCAAACAAAAAAGGUGUCAGUGGUCCAGAGGGCUGGACCAGGAAGUAGGUAGGGAGCUGGACAGAAGUAAUAUAUAUUGAGCACUCAAUUUCCAAAAUCUUGAAAAUUAGUAAAAUUCUUCUCUAAGAGUUAGAGAGAAAAUCAAGGCAUGCUGCAUCAAAACAGAGAUAGGCAGGUCCUUUAAAAGACACAAUAACAAAGACAAAAGAUGCAUGCAAUCUAAAGAGAACUUGGAGUAUACAUAAAUAUAUAAAAAUCAACUCAAACAUUUAAAAAAUUAACUCAAAAUGAAUUAAAGAUUUAAAUGUAAAACUCAAAGCUAUGAAACUACUAGAAGAAAAUACAGGGGAAAUGCUUCAUAAUAUUGACCUUGGUAUAAUUUUUAACAAUAAGAUCUCAAAGCACAGGCAACAGAACAAAAAUAGACAAAUGGAAUUACAUCUAACUAAAAAGCUUUUGCUCAGCAAAGAAAACAAUUAAUAGAAUGAAGAGACAACCUACAGAAUGGGAGAAAAUAUUGGCAAACUUUACAUCUGACAAGGGAUUAAUAUUCACUUGUAUAAGAAACUGGACAGCAAAUAUAUAUGUACUCGAGUUGAGAACCUCAACUCUCCCUCCCUGAGGAGUUUUGGACCGUGUUUUUUAAAAAAUCUUUGGCAGGUAUAGGGCUGAGAGGCAGGAGGUCACUGAUUAGGGCAUGGGAGAUACAAAAUUGGGAUACAUAUAUAUAUCCCAAUUAAAAAAUGGGCAAAAGAUCUUAAUAGACUUUUCACAGAAGAAGACAUACAAGUGGCCACCAGGUAUAUGAAAAAUACUUAACAUCACUAAUCAUCAGGGAAAGGCAAACCAAGACCACGAUGAGAUACCACCUCACUCCAGUUAGAAUUGCUAUUAUCAAGAAAAACAAGAGAAAACAAGUGUUGGCGAGUACGUGAAGAAAAGCAAGCACUUACACAAUGGUAAUGGGACUGUAAAAUUAGUACAAUCACUACAUAAAUGGUACAGAAUUUCCUCAAAAAAUUAAAGAUAGAACGACUGUAUGAUCCUGGGAUUCCACUACCGGAUAUGUAUCCAAAAGAAAUAAAAUCAGUGUGUCUAAGAGAUAUCUGCAUUCCUAUGUUUAUUGCACAACUAUUUACAAUAGUCAAGAUAUGAAAUCAACCUAAGUGUCCAACAACAGAUGAAUGGAUAAAGAAAAUGUUCACACACAGAAACACACACACCAUGUAAUACUAUUGAACCAUUAAAAAAAAAAAUGAAAUCUUGUCACUUGUGGCAGCAUGGAUGGACCUGGAGGGCAUCAUGUUUAGUGAAAUAAGCCAGACAUGGAAAUACAAAUACUGCAUGAUUUCACAUAUGUGGAAUCUAAAAUAAAAGUAACAUCAUAGAAGCAGCAAGUAGAAGAGUGUUUACCAGAGACUAGGGAGGGGUUAGUAGGGGUAGGGGAGGAUAGGGAGAGAUUGAUCGGUGGGUACAAAGUUACAAUUAGAUAGGAGAAAUAAGUUCUGGUGUCCAAUGCCCAGUAGGAUGGCUAUGGUUAAGAGUAAAGUAUUGUAUAUUGCAACAUAGCUAGAAGGUGUUAUAGGGCUGCCAUGUUCAAGGGCUCAUCGAGCAGUAACAAUUCAAUACGUCGAAACAGCGGGAGUUGCCGCAGAGAAAGAAUUUAAUAAUCACAGGGGCAUCCAAAUGAGGAGAUAGGAGAGAACCUCAACUCUGCCUCCUUGAGGAGAUUUGGACUGUGUUUUUUAAGAAAAGUUUGGCACGUAUGGGGCUGAGAAGCAGGAGGUCACUGAUUAGGGCAUGGGAGAUAAAAUCAUAAAUAUGUAGAAACUGCCUUGUUGCACUUAGUUCCUCGGAGAGUUCUUCAGACUGUCUGGUGUCAGUGGAUCCUUAGAAUGCAAGAUCUGGAAAACAUCUCUUAAUGGAGAAUCUGAGGUUUCUUAACAUUAAAGACGUUGUCUGUAGAAGCCAGGAGCUUGUGAUGCGGCUACGUGAAUUUUAAGUAGUAGGAAGCGAGAAAGAAGUAGGCUCUAGGGAAACCUGAUUAAUGCUUAGCCCUGCUUCUACUCAAAGCUUAUGCUUUUGGUAAGAAAACUGACAAUUUAGUUUUAUUAAUUUUAUGAGGACAGUUUUAGGGCUAGGCUUUUAAAUGUUCUCAUCACAAAGAAAUAUUAAAUACAUGAGGUGAUGUAUAAGCUAAUUACCCUGUUUCGAUCAUUAUACAACGUAGAUAUUUAUUGAAACACCAAAUUGUACUCCAUACUUAUGUACAAUGACAAUGUAUCGAUUUAACAAUUAAGAAAAUAAAGAUCAAGGAAUCAAAAAAAAAGAAAAAAAGAUAGGAUGAAAUCUCUGGAAAAGGUAAACUUACUUUGUCAGUGGUUUCCUGGGGCCAAGGGUGGGACUGAUAGGGGAGGAUUCUCUGAAUUAGGGUACAAAAUAAAUUUGGAAGAUGAUGGUAAUGACUGUGGUAAUAGUUACAAGAAUAUAUACAUUUAUCCAAAGCAUAGAAAUGUACACUUAAAUAAGUGCAUUUUAUUGCAUGUAAAAUAUACCAUAAAGAGAUAAUUAUAUAAAAAAAUCACAGAUGAAACAAGAGAAAGAUUUCCAGACCUCUGAAAUGUAACUUCAAAUGGACUGUGUAUAUUCACUUAUGUAAGUAAAGAAUGUUUUAAUUAAAAGGGAACAGAGAAUGAUGAUACUAGUCGGCCUUGGAAGUAUCUGAAAGAAGAAUCCCACAAGCUAAAAUGAAUAGUGCUGAUCCAAGCAUUGUUCAGGGCAAGAGAGUUCCAUCUGAUGAUUCAACAUGACCAGUUCUUUAGUCUGAUUCCCAGUUGAGUUAGAUGAAAGAUGCUGUCUUUGUUUGCUAACAUCCUACAAUCCUACGAUUAAUUCACGUGACUUCUCCUUGCUCUAUUCCCAACCACCAUGAAAAAUUCACAGACAGUGAACAUACACUGACUGUAGUCUUCAAGUGUGUGGUUCCUUUAGCAUUCAUACUUCUCAUUGUAAAUAAAUAUUUUAAGUCCAUACAUCUGGCUCCUAGGGCCAGAUGUGCUGAUGGAAUCAGACUUUUGAGCUUUUGAGACUGGAGGCAAAUGCUGGACUGUGUUAUUUAAACUUUAUUACUUUAUGCAUCUUAGUGGCACAGUUAUUGUAUAAUUUUUCUUUAAUCUGUGGCAUUUUAAAGCUGACCAUUUCUAACAACAAGGGCCUUGCUAACCACAGGGUCCCUUGUUUUGCCCAGCACCUUAUUGGAUUUCAAAAGGUAAAAAGAGUAAAUCUCACUCUUGGUGGUGAGAGAUAAGAGAACGAAAUCCCUGUAGAAAUCCAACUUGCAAGAUAAGUUUGAUGUUUCACGUGGAGGGUGUGCAGAGAACCCCUCUUCUGUCUUCCAUAUAAAAUUUUCUAUAAAACCAACAUUUCUUAAUAAUGCAUUUUCAUGUUAUUUUGGAAAAACUCUAAGAGGAGUUGAGUUUUCAUCGUGGGUUGAUGUGAGGCAAAAACCAAAAACAAUCAACAAUAAAACAAAACAAAACACCAGAAACAAUACAUCUGAACUCAAAGCCAGGAAGAGGACACGGCUGACAUUUAAAGCUAUAUUUGAGGAAACUCCUUUUGUGGUUGUUAUGUACCUCUAGGUAAAAAGAUCUGGAAAUUCUAGAUUCAUUUAAGUAAAAUUUUCCAACCUUAAACAGCCAAGGACGUUCUUCAGUUCCAUUAUUUUUCUUUCUUUUUUUGCUUGCAAGCAUGUAACUGGUUUCAGUAGGCAUUUAAGAAACAUGGCCAGUCUAGUUUUACAAACAGCACUAGCUGAACCAGCCACAUUUUUUACCUGCAGGCUGCCAGCUUUCCAAAAAGGGAAAAAUCCUUUCAUAUUUUACUUAUACAAAAGACUUAUUUGCCUUGCAGAAAGUCUCAGUCUCGGGUUCUCAUGUGUAGUCCUCCAAAUCAAGAGAACAGACAAGGCAUAUUCACGAAGAACACAUAGGAUUGCAUUUUUGCUCAUUGGACACACCUUGUACCUUUGCAUUUUCCUUUUUAAGUAAAUUCUAUAUUGCACUCAACUUCAUGCAAAUCACUAGCAGGAAGUAGGAACCUAAGAGCAAGUACAUUUCAAAUCAUGCCAGGAUUCAUGCAGGUUCAGGAUUGCCCUGUUUCACUAAAGGAUACUAGAAAGAAGAUGUGUCAUUUUCUUCCAGCAAAUUUAACCCAUCAGCCCUUCAGGAAGGUGUAAAGACCAGAGGUAGACCCUCUAAAUUCUGAACAAUUUCCCCCAGGUGAACACUGCAAUGGGACCACUGUUGAGGUACUCUCCUCCCAUCCUGCUCUAUUGUGAAACUAGCUGUUUAUUGCAAGUAGCAACAGGAUUUCUUUAAAAAAGGAUUUUGUUGCCCUUCUCCACUAAUUGCUUUUUUGGCAUUCUCCUGUCCACCUCUUUUUAUUAUCCUGCAAAAUGAUCAUAAACCUAUACGAUGUUUUAGACUACAAAUGCCAAAAGGCAGAGCAAUUUCAGUAAGCCCUGGUGAACCCAGAUGGCCCGAUAUGAAGAUCCCCUGGAAAUAGACUUUGUUAUAAAAGACUCCACAUGCAGACGUCAAAUGUGAACCAGGGAAAGAUAGAAAUGCAGAAAGUCUCGCUCCCCUGUCUUGGUAAAUCUGGGCCUCAUUUCAAUUAAAGCUGAAGUGAAGACUCCUCCUUGAAUGGUUCAAAUGCCUCGAAAUGGAAGGGAGAGGUGAGCUGUAGACUGAGGCAAAAGUACAUACUGUAUUUAUAAUCGAACACAGCUUUUUAUAUAAUUACAUCCUUGUGCACUUUUUAUUUUUGGUUCUUAAACAAAGUCACUCAGAUGAAAUUAAAGAGUGUGCAGGAGAAGGUGCUUCUCUGCUUCUUCCAGUUUCUAUGGCAACUCGGGGGCAUCUUAUUCAGCUGCCUCAUUGACUGAGUGUGCCCAAGUGAUGCUGGCUGCCACUUCAGCUCCUCCCUGGAAAAGGCAGGGAGGAGUGCUUUGUUGACCUUAUGGCCACCAAAAGAACUCAUGAUAGGACUGAAGAAAACCUCUGACAUGUUCAUUCAACUUUCCCUCAUUUUGUCAUAUAUGGUUGCCAUCUGACAGUGCUUUUGCCGAGAGUGUUUUGUUAGAAAUGUGUGUAUACUUGCCUUUGAAAUUUCUCUCUUGGUAAAUAAUCUGUUUUUAUGAGAAAGUUCCUAAUGUAAAGGAACCUCCUAUAUACUAUUCGACGAGACACUCUGUUUGCAGGACCAAAUGAAGAGCUGCUUAACUGGGACUUUAGAUGUAAAACUGUAUUAGCAAAAAUGUAAAAAAACAAAAUCCAAGUAAAAUGACAAAGGCUGAGACUUGAUUCAUUUGUUUGUUGUACUAGAUUGAAUGUUUGCCAAGGGAUGUCUUUCUGUCCAUGUGUCAGGACUGGGGAAAUGCUGAGGCGAAGAUGAUUCACAGAACUAAUCGCAGCAGAAUACGGGGUCAGAGCAGUCAUUUAGCAGGAGGGAGGGAAAGAACAGGGUUCACCGGAGCAAAGUCCUUACAAAACCAACUUAAACUGUAAGAAGAAACACUUUCAAAUUUUAGGUUAAACAUUGCAUUAGGUAACCAUGCUUUAUUAUUGUAACUUUAUUAAGAGUCACUUGUGAGCACUACUAAUUACAGCAACAACAAACAGAGUGGCAGGCAAAUGAUAGAGAAUUACAAAUGUGUGGGAAGAAGGAAGAAAAGAGGAGAGAAGGGAAGCGGAAGGUAGGAAGAGAAGGAGGGAAGGAAGGAGGAAAGAAGAAGCAAGGGAAGAGAAAAAAAGGAAGGAAGGAAG